AUGUAUCGACCGGUCUAUGGACCUCCCAUCCGAGAGGCCCCCCCUUUCCCUAGCGUGCGUGCGGUCCCCCGCGGCGACCUCUCCACUCGCCGUCGCCGUCCGUCGGGGAGGGAGCGUGCGUGCGGUCCCCCGCGGCGACCUCUCCACUCGCCGUCGACGCCCUCGGCCACUCGCCGUCCCGACCUCUCCACUCGCCUCCUCUGGCCAGCCAACCAUAGUGGCAUCGUUCCUCUGACACCGGUCGGCGCUUCGACUUCGACUCCUACAACCGGCACCUCGACUUGUCAACAUCCUCCGUCGCCAAAUCUUAACCACUACGAGUUCAUCCGGCCAUCGUCGAAGAAAGUUGAUUGGUGGCCGUUUCCACAUCAGGCCAACGACCUCACCCUGGGAGUCCACUUCUUCACGGUCACGACAUCUGCCUUGAAAAAUUAUCUGGAGUUUUGUGUGCCUUUUUCUAGCAGUGAGUUCCAGAGACGAAUGGGGAACUGGACUUUGAGCUGGAGCGGUCAUGUGUUCUUGCACCUGGGGAUUAAAAGCCAAUAUACAAUUUGUUCAUUUUCUUUUAGAGAAUGUAUAAACCACAUGGAGCUUGUGACAUCGGAUGAAGCUAGCGCAUGGCGGCAUACAACAGGAGCUAUUAGAGCUGGUUGUUACACGUUAGUGAAAGCAGAUAGGCUUUCCCUUGCAGAAGAACGGCAUGCUCCCUUGCAAAAGAGUAUUGAAAAAGAGAUUGCAUGGUUGCCGAGCGGACUCCAUAUGACGGAGGAAAUAAUCACCGCCAGCGAACAUAGUCAUCAUCUUAAGUUUGGACAAGUGAAGUGUGCCCAGGAUGCUCUUCGGAUGGCUCCCAGGAUGGGAUUGAACCCAGUUGAGGUCCUUGGGAAAUCAGGCCCUCCUGUUUCCAAGAUCAUAGGCUUUCACAAAGACAAGUAUACCAAGGAUGCCAUGGAGAAAGAUCGCCUAAAAGAACAAGGUCCAUCCGAAAUAGGACCAUCCUGCUUGCAAGAUCAUGGACUUCCACAAAGACAAGUAUAA
rnacentral:rRNA from 1 species